UUUUGCUAUUAUAAUUUUGGCUCAGACGUCACGGAUAAAGUGUGUUCGGUAGACUCUGGCGGGCACUCGUCAGCCGAAGCCGGCGGCGGGUGUGAGCCCGGGGGCCCGCCGAAGCAACGAGGUAAGGUAUACAGUGGGUGGAGGUUUGGGCACGGCCCAAUCACUCGAUAAUGAUCCUUCCGCAGGUUCACCUACGGAAA
rnacentral:misc_RNA from 1 species